rnacentral:rRNA from 1 species
GCCAGACUCCUACGGGAGGCAGCAGUGGGGAAUAUUGCACAAUGGGGGAAACCCUGAUGCAGCGACGCCGCGUGAGUGAAGAAGUAUUUCGGUAUGUAAAGCUCUAUCAGCAGGGAAGAAAAUGACGGUACCUGACUAAGAAGCCCCGGCUAAAUACGUGCCAGCAGCCGCGGUAAUACGUAUGGGGCAAGCGUUAUCCGGAUUUACUGGGUGUAAAGGGAGCGCAGGCGGCCUGCCAAGUCUGGUGUGAAAACCCGGGGCCCAACCCCGGGCCUGCAUUGGAAACUGGCGGGCUGGAGUGUCGGAGGGGCAGGCGGAAUUCCUAGUGUAGCGGUGAAAUGCGUAGAUAUUAGGAGGAACACCGGUGGCGAAGGCGGCUUACUGGACUGUAACUGACGUUGAGGCUCGAAAGCGUGGGGAGCAAACAGGAUUAGAUACCCCAGUAU